UUUCAUGCCUUCGUCGCCUUCGUAGACUUUCAUGUCGUUCUGUGUUGACGUCAUGGUUUAUUGAAUCAACCAAUCGGAAUGAGCGGGAGUAUCAAUUCUGUCGUUUUUGAGUUUGAGAUUUCAAACUAAGCCAUAUUCUUCAAUUUCUUCAGCUUAACUAAGAAAUUCUUAUUUUAGGGUAUUCAUUUGAUGCAAUUCAUCUACUCUAAUAGUCACUCUGAUUCUGACUGAACGAUAAGGGUAUUCAUUUGAUGCAAUUCAUCUACUCUAAUAGUCACUCUGAUUCUGACUGAACGAUAAGGAGAAUAUCACAAGGCGAUUGAAUAUCACGAAAAGAUGCUGAGCAUAGCGAAAGAGAUCGGUCACAGACAGGGAGAGGGAGCUGCUCAUGGAAAUUUAGGGAAUGCCUAUCAAUCAUUAGGAGAAUAUCACAA
rnacentral:lncRNA from 1 species